rnacentral:lncRNA from 1 species
GUACCUCUUAGCUCAGCCAUCUCUCCUACUCAUCACCCACCAGACACAACCCCAUCUCCCGCGCGCGCGUGUGGCCUCGGCUCCUCCCCCCAUCUCCUCUCUCGCCAAGAACCACCGAGCUUGGAGCGCCACCGCCAUGGCCAUGGCCACGCAAGCCUCGGCGGCGACGCGCCACCUGAUCACCGCGGCCUGGUCGCCCUCCGCCAAGCCCCGCCCCGCCACCCUCGCCAUGCCAUCCUCCGCCCGCGGCCCGGCCCCGCUCUGCGCCGCGGCCUCGGACACCCCCGCCCCAGCGGCGCCGCCGGCGGAGCCCGCCCCCGCGGGCUUCGUGCCGCCGCAGCUGGACCCGUCCACCCCGUCCCCGAUCUUCGGCGGCAGCACGGGCGGCCUCCUCCGCAAGGCCCAGGUCGAGGAGUUCUACGUCAUCACCUGGACCUCCCCCAAGGAGCAGGUCUUCGAGAUGCCCACUGGCGGCGCCGCCAUCAUGCGCGAGGGGCCCAACCUCCUCAAGCUCGCCCGCAAGGAGCAGUGCCUCGCCCUCGGCAACCGCCUCCGCUCCAAGUACAAGAUCGCCUACCAGUUCUACCGCGUCUUCCCCAACGGCGAGGUGCAGUACCUCCACCCCAAGGACGGCGUCUACCCGGAGAAGGUCAACGCCGGCAGGCAGGGCGUGGGGCAGAACUUCCGCAGCAUCGGCAAGAACGUCAGCCCCAUCGAGGUCAAGUUCACCGGCAAGAACUCCUUCGACAUCUAAUCUCGUACGUCGUAUAUGCGUACGUGCUAGUUCAUCGACCGGUAGUUAUUGGCGGGUGGCGAUGAUGAUGGACGUCCUGUAAUUUUAAUUGUCGAGUUUGAAUGAUGGAUUCGAUCGGUGAUAAUGAUGCAUCAGGUUAUAUGUACAUGGUAAUUUGAUGAUGAUACUGCUGUAUGUUAACGUUGUUCAUAUGCAUGAUCGGCUUCUUUUUAUGUUGAUGAUGAGUAGUAAUUUGUUACACGCGUACACUAUUUUUUGUUCUUUUGGCCAGAGAUGUAGCAUGCGAUGUUUAAACCAUUCAACCUAGCGCAUAAACACGGUAACCCGCAGCAUGUGUGGGCAACGCCUUCUCUACGUAUUGUUUUUGUGAAAGUAAUUACUGAAGAUAAGACUUAUGCUAAAUUAAUUUACAUAAUUGGUUACGAUUCAUAUACUCCCUCCGAUCAAAAUUAAUCGUCGCUGAAGGAACCAUCUUUAUUGAAGUUGACUAGUAAGUUUCCCGUGCCUUGCUACGAAAGAUAAAACAUGUCUAGAAAUAUAUUGCAAAAUUGAUUUUAUUUUUUGAACCCUCAACCACACACCCACUGGUUUCUUAUAAACAUGUAUAGAAACAUCGUUGACUAAAUUUAGGAUCCAAGGUUCCUAUCAUGCAUCCAAAUUAACUACUACCAAUUAUAGGAGUAGAGAUCAGAAUUGACUAAGCAUCUGAUGUCGCCACAUGGUAACAUCAUCAAAAUUGCCAGAAAAAAGUAAACUCGCGAGUGAAUGAAAGGAAAACCUGGGACCAUAAAUAAGAAAGAACAAAGGUAGACCAUAAAUACACGGCUUCAUACAACAAUUCCUCUCUCGAGACCUUGUCAAGCAAACAACACAAAUAUCAGUAACUUGCAACAAUCUUGCUCUGCACAUGAUGGUUGCUCACUAAUACAACUACAGAAAUACAAGUCAUGCCAAAUCAUUUUAAUAAGCUAUUAUGGCAGAAGGAUAUCUAAUACCACGGUAUCAAACCAAUUAACGUACAGUCUCCAAGUCCUUAGCUGAGCCUACCAACUGCUGCUACCGCCUUGCUGUCUUUCAUCUCUGAUCAGUGGAUCAUUCAUCUCUGAUCCGUGGAAGCUCCGAGCAGCCAAGCACACAACAUUUAAGCAGAUCAAGCACAAACCAAGGUAGAGAAAACACAUAGAAGUGAAAAGGCUACUUGUUGGCCCAAAGAAAGUGCCAAUUAUGUCCAGGCUCUUUCACUACUAGAAAAAUGCUUAUAUGUAGAAGUUUACCAGUAGCGCCUGUCUGAGCCACCACGCUACUGGUAUGUACUAGUAGCGCUUGGUACAAAACGCGCUACUGCUACUGUGUAGCAGCAGCGUUGGUUAGCAUGGGCCACGCUGCUGUUACGUGGGCCGCAAGGCCAAAACGCUGGCCCACUUAGCUGUAGUGUGGGCUGUGCGCCGACCUACAGCUAGUGGACGUAGCAGUAGCGCCGGCCUGUACCCGGUGCUAUUACUACACCAAGUGACCCCCCCUCCCCCGCACUCUCUCACUUCGAUCGUCCUCUUCCCUCCACCCGCCGCCGCCGCGGUUAGGGUUCUUCCCAGCCGCCACGCCGCCACCUCCGCCGUAGGUCCCCUCGUCGCCGGCACGGGUAUGUAAUGCUCAUCCCCUCCGAUGCUCCUCUCCCCUCUCGCCGCCUUCCGCUGUUCCUCCCCCUCUCUCGCCGCUCAUCGCCUUCCCACUCCCCUCUGCCCCACUCCGGCCGCCUCCCACUCCCCUACUGCAUGCCCCACUAUCCNNNNNNNNNNNNNNNNNNNNNNNNNNNNNNNNNNNNNNNNNNNNNNNNNNNNNNNNNNNNNNNNNNNNNNNNNNNNNNNNNNNNNNNNNNNNNNNNNNNNNNNNNNNNNNNNNNNNNNNNNNNNNNNNNNNNNNNNNNNNNNNNNNNNNNNNNNNNNNNNNNNNNNNNNNNNNNNNNNNNNNNNNNNNNNNNNNNNNNNNNNNNNNNNNNNNNNNNNNNNNNNNNNNNNNNNNNNNNNNNNNNNNNNNNNNNNNNNNNNNNNNNNNNNNNNNNNNNNNNNNNNNNNNNNNNNNNNNNNNNNNNNNNNNNNNNNNNNNNNNNNNNNNNNNNNNNNNNNNNNNNNNNNNNNNNNNNNNNNNNNNNNNNNNNNNNNNNNNNNNNNNNNNNNNNNNNNNNNNNNNNNNNNNNNNNNNNNNNNNNNNNNNNNNNNNNNNNNNNNNNNNNNNNNNNNNNNNNNNNNNNNNNNNNNNNNNNNNNNNNNNNNNNNNNNNNNNNNNNNNNNNNNNNNNNNNNNNNNNNNNNNNNNNNNNNNNNNNNNNNNNNNNNNNNNNNNNNNNNNNNNNNNNNNNNNNNNNUUAGGAUUGAUGACAUUGUAGAGGCAGGCUUAGGUUAAUAUUUGUUGGUAGAGGCAGGCUUGUGAUGUUUGUAGUGUAUUAGCUAGGAUUGACAUUGUUAAUUUGUUACUAAUUAUAGUGUAGUUAAUUUCCCUAGCGUCAUUGGUAUAUAUGAUAUGUUUCCCUAGUGUAGUUCCCCUAACAUUGAUGUUUUAGUGUAUUGUCUAUCCGGUAAUGAAUCAAUGAUAUACGAUAAUGAAUCAAUGCAUUGAAUUAGAACACAUAUUGAUGUUUAAUUAACUCUAUCCAAUCAAUGCUUCGAUAUAAUAGGAAAAAGGCGCCAGCACCACCAACAGCAUGUCGACUGUGCAAGUCAAGGUGCGCCAACAGCCUUGCAACUGGCACGAUGUUCGACAUAUACUUCCAGCCAAGUUUUUUUCAUGCGGCGGUAACAAAUUAUAUGAAACUUGUAACAACUAUUUUGUUUUAGUGUUAUUGACAUUAAUGCAUUGUGUAUACAUCAUUUUGCUUUUUUACACAGAUUGUCCCAUGCAAUGUGAGGUUGGAAUUCAACAAGAUGACCAGAGACACUGUGACCUUUGAGACUCCUGGGGGGGCCCUAUACUAUGGAGGUCGAGAAAGGACGAAAUAUGUCGCAUAUGGGAGGAGAUGGAUGGGUCCAUUUCAUCGCCCACAUGGGUAUCACUGGUGGUGAGUUGAUCAACUUCUCCUUCAGAGCAGAAAGACACAAGCUGGCCGUCAUUUAUGUCAACACGGAGGAAGAUGAUGAGGACCCACUUGAUGAAGCCAUCUAUGCUCAAAGAAUGAGGCUGAGCGAGGAGGAGGUGUGCAACCUAUGGGACAUAAUUCUGCCACGUGCUGACUUCAUCGGGGUGCCAUUCGUGACCCGCCUGACAAGUACCAUGGUUGAUCGGCAUAUCAUGGUAUGUUAUACUUACUGUAGUUAUUUGAUGAUAUGCUUUAUUGUUAUAUACUUACAAAUGCAAAUUAUCUGUAUGUAGAAUCCGAUGAUAUGCAUAGUAUAGAAUCCAAUGAUAUGCUUAGUGUAGAAUCCGAUUACAUGCUUACUUAGUGUAGAGUGCAACGAUUUGCUUAGUGAAUCCGAUGAUAUAUGCUUAGUGUAGAGUCCAAUGAUGUGCUGUAUAGAAGCUAGGCCGACGAUAUGCUUUAGUGUUGAGUCCGAUGACAUGCUUAAUUAGUGUAGAGUCCAAUUACAUGUUUACUAUCCGAUUUGAUAUGCUUUAGUGUGUAACUAUAGAGUCCAAUGAUAUAUAUGCUUAUCGUAGAAUCCGAUCGAUGAUAUGCUUUCGUGUAGCUAGAGUCCAAUGAUAUAUAUGCUUAGUGCAGAAUCCAAGGAACUGUUAAUAGUGUAGAAUCCGUACUUAUUAGUAGAAUUCAUGCUUAGUAGAAAUGUAGUAUUGUCUUUUGAUAGUGUAGAAAUCUAUACUUAGUAGAAAUAUAUUUGCAAGAGUAUGUGCGAGGCUACUUAUUAAUUGAUAUGUUUUUCUUAUUCAGAAAUUGCCAAAGAGCCUAUCUGUGAGUUGUGGUAUCGAGCCUGAUGAAGAAGGCUCUGCUGGAAUACGCCUUACUGCAAGGGGCUCCGUCACCACGUGUGCGUACGGCAUGGACACAGCCGGUCGCACACACUUAAGCUCGGUUGGAUGGAACAACUUCCUCGUUGGCAAGAAUCUUCAUGUUGGAUAGACCAUCCUAAUUACUAGCAGGAACACUCACUGCCAAAGCUUGAGGAUGAUGAUCGUCAUUGAUAUCAUCUAGAACUAUAUAUGUGUGUGGCUGCUGAACCAUAUAUAUGCUACUAUAUGACUACCUAGUAGACUACUUAUCAACUAAUAUUAGUUUGCCAUAUGAGAUCUAUCCAUGCAUGUUGACUAUAUAUGAGUACCUAUAAUGUUUGUGAGAUUGUGGUUAUAUUAAAUCUGGUGUUGUGGUUAAUGAUAUUGUUAUAUGACUAUCCAGUAUUUGUGAAAUUGCAGUUUAUUGAAACGGGCACUGUUCUACAAUAUAGAAAGCAAAAAAAAGUUGAACGAUACAGCAACAGUGCGGGGACAGGAAAAGCGCCAUAGAUAAAUAGCAGUAGCAUGUAACAGAAGAGCGCUACUGAUAAGGUGACUAGUAGUAGCGCUGGGUUAGACCGCGCUAUUACUACCAGUUAGCUGUGGUGUCGUAGUAGUAGUGAGGCUACCCGCACUACUGAUAGCCAUAAAACCCGCGCCACUACUAGGGUUUUCCCUAGUAGUGUUUGUAUGCGAGUUGAUCAAUCCUAGGCUUUUGGAAUAAUGUGUUGAGUUUAUGUAAAGGUCACACUAUAGGCAUGUCUAAAUCUUGACAACUGAAGGUUAAUUAUCUAUCGUUGGGUUGAGUAGUACUUCGGUUGGCAAUUUCAGGACAUGAUGGAUCUAACAUGAUAAGAAAAUUGAUACAAACGAUCGAACGGACAACCCAAAAGGAGCAUUCAACAUUAGGAACAGAUGUCCUACUGCUCCCUGGCUUUUUCGGGUACUAGAUAAGGGUGUACUUGAUCAACUUAUGUUGCAAUAGAGUAGUCUGGGUUUUGCAUCAGGAAGAAAUGGUCAUAUGACCUCUAAUGUUUCUUGUAUGAUGUAGUUCAAUAACUUAAUCAGUAAUGUAGGUCAACUGGAUUCUGAUCCUCUGGGUUUAGUACUUUAGAAGCUUCUAGAACUUUUCAUAUAUAAAUUAUGCAAUACGUAGUACAAUAAGCAUGUGGUAUCUCUAAGAAAAAAUUGCAAUCCACAAUGCAAUAAGCCUGUAAUGGCUUCAUAAAAAUCGCAUUCACACUCAUAUAGAAAAACUAUUUUUUGCAUUGAUCAUAUUAUUUCUAUGAAUACUUCAAAAUUUAAGUAGAAAAUAUACUACUUGAUAUUCAUAUAUCUAUUAUCUGUAAACGAUUAUCCUGCUAUGACAUUAGAUUUUUACAUUCCAUCGAAGGUAUUAGCUGUUUUAUGAAUAACUACUUUAGGAAUACUUACCAUCCUUCCAGAUGAAGCAUUCUUUGGCAAAGGCUCUCUGCGAAUAAUAAUUGAUGUUGGACCGAAAAUACCUCAUGCUCCAUUUGAAUGUGUUUGUUAAAUAGAACCCUUGGAUAUAUGUAUUUUACACCCAUUUGCUUUCUAAUGACAGUUAAAUGGAAUCCUUUGACGUGUGUCCUUUUCACCUAUUUGUUGUUCCAUGUCAACGCAAUGGGCACUCUCCUAGUUAAGUAUGAAAUUUCACAACAUUCCCAAAGAGACUAUCACAACAAGCAUACCUAACAAUAAGGGUCAUGACUUGCAACUUGCAGUGGGAAAAUCAAAUACAUUGACAAGAUGCAUAAUGCAUUAAGCAGAGCCAUCUAUUAAGAUCAUUAGUAAAUUUUGGGAUAGAGAAAAAUAGACUUCUUUUAACAGAAAAUUAGAGCAUGCACUCAUGUUCAUAUUUUUCAUGCAACACUUGUAAUUCAUUUAUAAAUCAAGGUAUGCAUUAAGUUACAUUUGCCUAUAGAGAUGAAGCAAGAGUUGAUGAGAUAUAUAGGAGCUUUUACAACAUACCUUGUUCCUUGGAAGAGCAGAUCAGGAGGCGACGGGCAGUGAACCGCACCUCCUUACACUCUGUUUGAUCUGAAAUGUGAGAGCAUGUUGGCUUCUUGGGAUGUGGUUCGAGCAGAGUGAGUCUCAUCUACUUUCCCACUCGAUUACUUGGCUGCAAGACAUGUUUCUAGAUAGUUCCAUCUUGGCGCGUGGAUGGGUAGGAUGAGGUUUGCCAAGGAAAGGCAGUAGCUGAGCAAAGCACAUGUCCAUGUCCAUCACACCAGAACAUGUCGUAGAGUGCGUUGGCGGGGAUGGGGUAGUACUAGGUGGCGAUGCAGCCGGCGGCGUACUUCUAGAGGUCGACAUCGGAGGAUAGGGGGAGUGGGCGGAGGAGAUGGUGAUGAGGAGGAUGAUGAUGUGGUGUUGGUGGGUGGUGGGGCUGCUGCAGCAAGAAAGGGAGGAACCAAGAGAGGGGUCGGGGCAUAGACGGUAGUAGUGGCGUACUUGCGGGAGUGGAAUUGUAGGAUAUGGUGGAGCGGAGGGGAUGACGCAGAAGAGGGUGACGUGGUGGAGAUGCUCGGGUUAUGCUGUGGCAUAACAAGAGGACGCGUCGGCGGACGGACGACAUCACCGACAUACAUGCUUGACAAGGUCGGCACCAGAGGAGACAGGCAAAAUGGGGUGGAGGAUAUGGCAAGGAGGAGGGGCUUGUGGUGGUGGUGGGCGCUGGGGAUGAUGGGAGCAGGCGUGAGAGGCAUGGGGGUGGACGACAUCGGCAGCGGCCAUCAGGCGAGAUCGUUUCCAGUGCCGCCGGCCCGGUGGUUCUUCCAGUGCCUUCCAGAUGGAUGGGACUUGGAGGGGCUAUCUGCAAAUGUAUGACGCGAAGCAGGUGUCUGUGUGUAAAAUUGCAAAGAUUGCUUUGUGUUGUGCGUUAGAUGCAGAUCCGACAACCCUAAAUGCAAGAUGGCAUGCACACCAUGAUAACCAACUCAGAUUUUUAUUGCAGUAGAGAUUAAAAUCAGCAACAACGGAGUAUAUAACAUAGGUAACUAUGACAUAAUCAUUACAAGAUAUGAAUUUAGCAGGUGCGACUAAGUCGACUUCUUCCACAACAACACCUUCAAGGAGUAAAAGCCCUCGCCAUGUCCAGCCAAAGAUGGCCAAGACAAGGAUUUUCUUCAUGUUUACCGACACCAACCACUCAAGGCCAACACAUCACUAAGGAGAUGCCGCCUCCGACAAAAUAAGGACAUAAAUUUCUUGCUAAUGAGUCCAUCAAUCAAGUCCAGAACAAGAGUCCUAACCCUGGACAUGAAAUGGUGUUCUAAUCACCAUGGAUGAUGAAUCUUCCGGUUGUCAUGUCAUCCAGUACUCCCUGCUAGACCGAGAUGGCGCUAGCGGAAGGGUGAGACAUUUUCCCACCAAAUAUUACUGCCCCAACUGUGGUGGUGAUGGUGGUGUGGGUGUGUGGGUGGGGGUGGGGGAUGCUACUUCUUGAGCUUGCAUAGGUUUUUCCCUUGAAGACGAAAGGGUGAUGCAGCAAAGUAGAGAUAAGUAUUUCCCUCAGUUUGAGAACCAAGGUAUCAAUCCAGUAGGAGACAACGCACAAGUCACCGAAUACCUGCACAAACAAUCAAACAACUUGCACCAAAUGGGAUAAAGGGGUUGUCAAUCCCUUCACGGUUACUUGCAAAAGUGAGAUCUGAUAGAGAUAGAUAAACUGUAAAGUAAAUAUUUUUGGUAUUUUGGGUUUAUAGGUCGGAAAGUAAAAGAUUGAAAAAUAGUAGAUCGGAAACUUAUAUGAUGGAAAAUAGAAACUUAUAUGAUGGAAAAUAGACCCGAGGGCCAUAGGUUUCACUAGAGGCUUCUCUCAAGAUAGUAAAUGAUACGGUGGGUGAACAAAUUACUGCCGAGCAAUUGAUAGAAAAGCGCAAAGUUAUGACGAUAUCUAAGGCAAUGAUCAUGAAUAUAGACAUCACGUCCGUGUCAACUAGACCGAAACGAUUCUGCAUCUACUACUAUUACUCCACACAUCGACCGCUAUCCAGCAUGCUUCUAGAGUAUUAAGUUCAUAAAGAAUGGAGUAACACGUUAAGCAAGAUGUCAUGAUAGAGGAAUUAACUCAAACAAUAUGAUGAAAACCCCAUCUUUUUAUCCUCGAUGGCAACAAUACAAUACAUGCCUUGCUGCCCCUACUGUCACUGGGAAAGGACACCGCAAGAUUGAACCUAAAGCUAAGCACUUCUCCCAUUGCAAGAAAAACCAAUCUAGUUGGCCAAACCAAACCGAUAGUUCAAAGAGAAUUACAAAGAUACCAAAUCAUGCAUAAAAGAAUUCAGAGAAGAUUCAAAUAAUAUUCAUAGAUAAGCUGAUAAUAAAUCCACAAUUCAUCGGAUCUCGGUAAACACACCACAAAAAGGUAUUACAUCGAAUAGAUCUCCAAGAACAUCGAGGAGAACAUGGUAUUGAGAAUCAAAGAGAGAGAAGAAGCCAUCUAUCUACUAGCUAUGGACCCGUAGGUCUGUGGUAAACUACUCACGCUUCAUCCAAAGGGCAAUGGAGUUGAUGUAGAAGCCCUCCGUGAUCGAAUCCCCCUCCGACAGGGUGCCGAAAAAGGUCCCUAGAUGGGAUCACACGGGUACAGAAUGUUGCAGCGGUGGAAAAGUGUUUUUGUGGAUGCCUGUGUUGGUUUGGGGAUAUAUGGGAAUAUAUAGGCGCAUAAAUUAGGUCAGGAAGUGCACAAGGGGCCCACAAGAGUGGGGGGCGUGCCCUCCAUCCUUGUGGCUGCCUCGUGGCUCCUCCGACUUCAUCUUCAAGUCUCCUGGUUGUCUUCUGGUCCAAGAAAAAUCAUCACGAAGGUUUUAUUCCGUUUGGACUCCGUUUGGUAUUCCUUUUCUGCAAAACUCAAAAACAGGAAAAAACAGAAACUGGCACUGGGCUCUAGGUUAAUAGGUUAGUCUCAAAAAUAAUAUAAAAUAGCAUAUUAAUGCAUAUAAAACAUCCAAAACAGAUAAUAUAAUAGCAUGGAAUAAUAAAAAAUCAUAGAUACGUUGGAGACGUAACAGGCUAUCCACCUCAAUCCAGAGGCCAUUACCCCAUUGUCCUUUGUGUUGGGAAUUAGCGCACACUUAACGAUGAUCUGAAACACUGCACAAAUCGGGUCAGGUCAGGUUUGGUCAGGUCGACUUCUACCAGACCCAUGCCCUAGAACACUAUGGGUCCUUCCUACACCCAUGACCCUAGCCAUGGGUCUAGACAUAGACCCACACCCGAACCGAAUGGUUAACUCGACCCUAUUGGGAAUCCAACGAGUCUGACAAGGUUUAAUUAUUAUUUAUAUAUUUAUUUAGCUGUGACACAAUUUAUAUUUUGCCGGUCGUGAGGGGCAGACCCAGUACCAAGUGAGAGCAUCUACAGCCGGACUCCCCAAACCCGCCUCAAACGUCCGGGCAGACGAGCCGGUCACUGUCCGAUCGCAAAAAUGCGACCCAGAUGAGUGCCUCAAACGCCCGGGCUGACUGGCACCCCUCAUAUCUAGCCCAAAUUUACGGCGGAUAUGGGGGCUGCCAGGCUCGCCUGAGCGCGUCUGCCACGUCAGAACCGACAACCCUACCCAUCUAAAAUUCUACCAAAUCCAACCCCUUAACCUAUCGGAUCCAUUUGUUUUCUCCUCUCUUCUUCCUCCUUCGUGAUGUCUGUCUUGCAGCUCCGCCGCCGCUUGCGCUCCACAGACGUUCCGAUCCUCUACGCCUUGAGAUGUUGUGUUAUUUUGCACAAUAUGAUUGUCGAGGAUGAGGGUGAUGCUGUUGCCCAAACCAAUGAUUUUGAAGCGCCUAGAGAAUAAGUUCAAAUCCCGGAAGAUUAAGAUGCAAAUCAGCUUAUGAACUUUCUACAGAUGCACCAGAAUCUUUGAGAUCAUCAGGUGCACGCGUAGCUACUCAAUGAUCUUGUGGAGUAUAUGUGGACCCACAAUGAAGACCAAAGAGCUAAUAUUUGAGUUGUGCACUUAAAAUAAAUUCUAUGUAAGAACUAUUUAUUUUUGAUACCAACAUUUGUUAUUUACAUGCGACAUUGACGUGUAUGAUGGACAUGCAUGGAUUUUGCAUCUUGCGAUUUUGCAUGGGCCACGUUGUAGUCAGAAUUGGGCCACACCAAACAUCCAAAAGCUAGGUGUCCCUCGUACACCUCAAAAUUGGGACAACUAGCGAUUUUGUUUUCCUCUCGGUGUUUUUCGUUCUUUUUAUUUUUUAUUUUUAUUAUUAAAUUUUCUUUUCUAUCUUUCUUUUUUUCUUUUUUUCCUUUUUGGUUUUUCUUUUUGUUUCAUUUUCUGUUCUUUCUUUUCUGUCAUUUAUUCUUUAUUUUCACUUUUUUGGCUAAUUUUAUUUAAAUUCAUGAACAUUAUUUUGUUCAUCAGAUUAAUAAUAUAUUCAACCAUAUAAAAAAAUGACCUCAAUUUGAAAAAUUGUUCAUCGAAUUUUAAAAUUGUUCAUCAACUUCAAAAAAUGUUCCAAAUUUAUAAAAAUGUUCAUGAAAUUCCAAAUUUGGUUAAUUGAUUUAAAAAAAUGUUAAUUGAAUUAGAAAUUUGUUCAUCCAUUUUUGAAAAAACAAUUUUAUUGAAUACAAUUUUUGUUCAUUAGGUUCAAAAAAGUUUCAUCGAAUUUUGAAUUAGCAAACAUUGUUUUACAAUUUAUUGUAAUUUUUUAAAUUCAUGAACAUUUUUUGAAUACACGAUCAUUUAUUUUUCAAAAUUAUGAACAUUUUUUUAAGCCACAAACAUGUUAUGAUUUCUGUAACAUUUUCCCUAAAAUUCAUUUGAUUUCCUGAAUUUUUUUGAUAUUUCGAAUUGUUUCAAGGACGAAAAAUAAAAUAAAAAUACGGAUUUAAAAAAUCAAGGCCCCCAACCCCAAUCAUGGGCUGGCCCAAUAGGGGUGCGCGGGAGGAGCGGAGGUGCACCCAGCACCUCGAGCACCAAAUAGGAGCUCUCCCUCGUAAGAGACUUCAUCUUAGCUUCGGAUUCGAAGCAGGUUAUUAAUGACAUUGAUCGAGGGAGCACAACGAGCUUUACCUUUUAAUUGUAUCUUUAAAUAUGAAGAUCGUGCUACUAAUGCAUGCGCCGAUAGGUUAGCCAUGUUUUGGCACUUACUUGAUCAGGGAAGAUAUGUUUGAUUGGUAUCGCCGGACGAUCCCUUUUGUAUUCCGCUCCACCUGGAGUUUGACCAAUAAAGCUUGGUAAUACCCCUCAAAAGAAAAAGAAAAAACUAGUUGUCCCUCGUUCUUUUGCUCAAAAAGAGUUGUCCCUCGUAUUUUUGAAUUCUACUGACAAGCUACAUGUUAGUGUAUUUAGACUAAAAUAACUCAGAUAUAAUAGAGAAUAACUAAUUUAUUUAAUUAUUACUACUAGUCGGGUGACCCGACGGGUGACCAACAUGCAUAAACUUAAACCCACACCCUACUCACGACUAAUAGGGUUUCCCAUGGGCAAGACCUAUGGGCGAAGUCGACAACCCAUAACCUUCUAUAAGUCACAACUAUUUGGGUCGGGUGCCCAUGGCCGGACGGACCCAUAGGUCAGAUUGCCAGGUUGAGUCAAAACUUAGGACAAAACUUAAGUUCCUUCGAUAAGUUUCUCCAGCAUGGUGCUAUACCUCAGACAUCCAUCUUGAAGUGUCUGGUGCGAAGCGCAAAUAUAGAGAACAAUAGCGAAAAAUCAACAUAGAUGAACAUCAUUAUUUUUACGUGGAAAACCACCAAAUUGAAGAAAAAACCAUGGGACGAAGCCGUCCAAAUCUUCUUCCACUAUAAUCAAAAAGUGGGGUACUAUAAGUUCUUCUCCAGAUAGCACUAGAGAUUCUCCUACAUAAAGGUCCACUACUGGCAAAAGGCUUAUAGGUGAACUCAAAUGAGUGGCGGGCGCGACGAGUUACCUGCCACAACUAUUUUGAAAAACAAGCAGUGGCGGGUAACAAAAAGGGCCCCACACAGUUAGGGGCAUAACAGUGGCGGGCACUUUUUGUCGCCCGCCACAGGUAUAAUCUUCCGGCUAGGAGUUGUUUGCGUAACUCAGCUGUGAUGAGCACUAACUAACGCCCGCCACAGGUACAUGAACCAGCAGUGGCGGGCGCUCCCUAGCAACCACCACUAGUUAUCCUUGUCAGAUGUCUAUUUUUUUGGGAGAACACAGUUGUGGCGGGAACUACUUACUGCCCGCCGGUGGUAGGUUAAAUAGCAGUGGUGGGCAUUAAUUUCUACCCGCCACAAAACAUUUUCCCGUGCGGGGUGCUAUCCACGACUCUUUGUAGUGGCGGGCCCUUGUUAACUCCCACCACUGGUGAGAUCGUGUAUAAUGUUUGCGAGCUAGUAUAGUUGCUUCCCCUCCCCAAUUUCUUCUUCCCCUCCAACAAGGCCCUAUUCUUCCUCUUACUCCUCUCACCAUUGGUCAUCCUAGCCGCUCUCUCUCCUCUUUAGCCUUAUGGGACCCACUUUUCCAUGGCAUAGUUACUCCGCGGGCCCACCUCCACCAUAAUUAAUUAGCAUUUGUCGACCCCACCACCUUCUCUAACCCUCAAACCACCUAAUACGGUGCUAACCCGGUGUAGGCCGAUCUUUCACGUUUGGAGUGGGAUCCCUCGAAGAACACGAAGAAAACGGGGAAGAACGGGGAGAAAUCACAAGGGGAAACACUCAAGAACAAGUCCAAUCACACAUCCACUAGACAAUCAAACACACAAGAUCCACAAGGUACUUGAACAACAAAAGGAAAUAUACAAGGUAAAGUUCAUCUCCAUGAGGAGGUCAAGGGGGUCCGCCCGUGAGGGGGUCUUGAUGAUAUCCUGCAGGAUCUUCUCCUAGAUGGAGGUCUUGGGCUCCAAUGGAGUAGUGGUCUCUCUCUCUCAAGAGGAGGAGUGGUAGGAGCAAAUCUAACCUAAGAAUGAGCUAUCACUUUGCUAACCCUAGAAAGGAGGUGGAGGUGGUCUAUUUAUAGUCUAAGCCACGAAGGGGUAAGUGGGAGAUGGAUACAAGGCCAAAGGCCCGCGGCUGCGCACACAAGCAUCGGACGUCCGGUCAGUGUCGGAUGUCCGGAGGCUUGGGACGGUUCGUACUUCCCUAAAUAUCGUUCUGUCACCGUGGCACCAAUCGUCCGGAGGCGCUCGAUCGUCCGUGGCCUGGGAGGUGUCGGACGUCCGGUCUCGGUCGGUCGUUCGGUCGCUGUAGAUCUCGUCGGCAGGUCUCUUGGGAUGGCUGGAGUUCCAGGUGUCGGACGUCCGACGUAGUCCGGUCGUCCGGGUGCUGUAGGGGGUCAGACGUCUGGUUGCUUCCGGUCGUCUGGUCGUUGUAGACUCCGCAACUCGUUCUUCUUCUGUCUUGGCUUCCAUGCUUCCCUCGCAGAUGGUGUAGUUGUUCCUUGGCGGAGCUCGAGUGGCAGAGAGGAGAGGAAGAAGACGACUGGGGAAAAGACCUAGGUCACCCUAUUUAUAAGGGAAGACUGACCGAGAGGGCGCGAAAGACGAGGAGAUAACAUUUGUUAUCCAGCGGCUCUGGCGCCUCGAUUCUCGGGAUGGUCAGUAAAGACAAAGAUCCGUUCAAGAUACGAUGGAGUAAAAAUUAAUUUUUAUUGAAGAUGACGUCAUGAUGAUUUAACCCGGAUCCAGAUGAUGACGUCACGGAGGGUUAAAAUUCUUCAUUCAAGACAAAGGACUGCAGGAUAGUCCAUAAGGUAUUUUAAGAUUGACAUGAACAGGUUCAAAUCAAUCUGGGGCCUAAUGUUGGGGAUAUAACUAUGUGUGUAAGCCGCCCAGGAGGGGCCGGGUUACGCAAAGAGGACUCACCAGAGAGAAGCCCAAGACCAAAGUAUGAAGAUGGCGGUUCAUAGAGAGCUUAAGGCCCGCAGGCGACUUAAGGCCCGUUGUAAUAAACCGCUGUAAUAAUAUUACUUGUAUCAUAAGGUACACUUAACUAGUCACCGAGCCGGACAUUGUUUAUAAGCCGGCCGGGACUCUGUAAGCUGCAGGGCGUCGACCCGUGUAUAUAAGGGGACGACCCGCUGGCGGCUUAGGGCAAGAAACAACUCAUCGAGAGCCAGGCGUAGCGUAUCUUGCUCCCUGGUCAUCGAAACAUCAAUACCAACCCAACUAGACGUAGGCCUUACCUUCACCGUAAGGGGCUGAACUAGUAUAAAAUCUCUCGUGUCCUUUGUCCCGAUUAACCCCUUUAAGCUUCCUAGUUGCGAUGGCUCCACAACUAAGUCCUUUCACGAGGACAUCUGACGUGACAAUUCCACAACAAGGAUGCUCCGCAUCAUCCCCUCCCCCUUGGAAAAGAUCGUACGUCGGAUCAAAAACCAAAUCACCACGGGAAAGAGAUGGCGGUGCCGUGUCGAAGUGGUUGAUCACCAAGCACUCAUCAUCUAGUAGCUCGAAAUGGGCACUCUCCAAUGUCGCACCAUCUUGUGAUUCCUUCAAAAGGAGCAAACAGAGCAAACACUUGGAAAAACAAAUGUGGUUAGCGUUAGUGCAAAACCAAGCAUUGAAGAGGUGAUUCACCAAACAAGUGUUGUCAUCAAGUAUAGCAUAUGGUUUGACAAAGGAUUGUGACAUGGCAUGUAAGCAUAUCAAUCGAGUAGAAGCAAAGAUAUCAUGAGGACAAGUAUGCAAAUGUGAGGUAGAGAUGCAAAUAUGUGUGACAAGAGAAUAAGCAUCUACCUCGAGGUCAUAGCAAGCAUUCACAAAUUGCUCAAUGAAAGGUCUAUGAUAGGCAUAAGAAUCAUUCACAACACCAAAUAAAAGGAAGUGUCUGAACACAUGUGUCAAGUGCAAGACAAUCCAAGCAUAAUGUGCAUAGUGUGGCACUCAACACAAUAGAAAGAGCAAUUGUUCAUCAUGUGUGAGCCAAUCAAGUGAAUCAUGUGACAAGCAAAGGGACAUGGCAUAUGUGAAGAAAUGAUAUUGGUGCAACCAACCAUAUGAUAGUAGAAAGUAGUCCAAGAAUUGGAUGCAACACACAAGGUAUAUAUGUCAUGAAGCAUGGAAAUGUGGCAAUCAUGGGUGAAAGCAAUAUCUCAAACAUGCGUGCAAAUGGUGCAAGCAACACAUGAAGUAUGAUCCACAAUAUCCAAGCUCAAGAAGGAUGUCACCUUGAAGGCGUGUCCUUGUGCAUUCUUCACAAUGCCGAAGUGGAAGCAAACACAGUGUAGAAGCGAGUCGUGGUAGAAGGUAUGAGGCUCGCUAUCAAGAGCUCGAAUGGUCAACUCACGUGAAGUGGAAGUCGACACGAAGAGCAAGUAUCCUACACAUGCACACAACAAAACAAACAACGUAUGCGCAUGGUAGAUAAACACAUCAUCCAUCAUGAUGGUUUUCUUCUCUUGCACAUAACCAUUAGAAGCAAAAGCGCAUUAAUAAUAUGAUGCAACAAUGGCGAUAUUCAUGGCACUAGGUAUAUGAUGCAAAGAGGUAAGGCAAGCAUGCUUCACAAGUAAUAUGUCAAAAUCUCCAAACAUAUGUGAGAAUGCACAUGACAUAUCAUAAGCACGAACACAAAGCAAGAUCAUAGUAUCAUCAUAGGGGUGGGUCACAAAUGGAACAUGGCAACAACAAGAGAUAUCUCCACCAAGCUUGCCAAUACACAUAAAAGUAUGAAAAUCAAUCAUCAUGUGUAAAGCAAAGCACGGGUCACAAAUGCAUGGCAAAGGCAUAGGAAAGGGCAUAUCAUGCAAAGUGAACAUGGCAAGAUGGGCAUAUAAUAUGUAAUGGACAUCAACCCAUAGCUAAGUGAGGGCCAUGUAGAAGAAAUGCGCGAAAUCUUUGCGCAAAGAGAGUGGUGGGAAAGACAAUCCAUAGGAUCCCAAAUCAUCGUUGCUCUCUAGAGCUCGUUUUCUCAACUCAUGGGAUUGUGAGGUUGACAAGUAUUCAUGGGUACCUACACAAAAGAGACACAAACCAAAGAAAUUGUGCGCGUGGUAAAUGUACACAUCAUCCAUCAUAAUGUGUAUGUGCACGUGUGAGUUAGCACAAGAUAAGAAAUGCUUAAAGAAAUUUGAUGCAUGGUAUAAGAACAUGUCAUCCAUCAUGAAAGAAUAAUUAUUAUGUAUGACACGAUGGGGACACAAAUUGAGAAUGCAAUUAUAUGGCACAUCAAUAUCAUGUUUAUUCAUUGGGAGCAUAUGGUGCACACAAAUAUUGGGAUCAUGCAAUGAAUGUGAUGGAUCAAAAUCUCCUAAAAUGCAUGAGGAAACUAUGGGGGUCUCCUCAUGAGCAAUAUCGGAAACAUCACAUGGAGAAAAUGGACAACAUCCAAAACAAUGCAUAUCCGAAGCUAGGUGGUCAUGGCAUGGCAUAUGAGAUAAAUGAUGCAAAGGGAGCAUAUCAAUAUCAUCACAAGAAAAACAAAUGCCAAUAACCAUGGGCUUGUCAUCUAUGCCAUAUGUGCAAAUUGGGUUUAUUUUAAUGGCAUAUGCAUAGUCACUACGAUGAGAUUGCAAAUAAGACAUAUGGGAGAUCUCAUGCAUAGCAUAUGACAAGUCAAGCGGAUUAUCAAACAUGAUGUGACCUAAAGAAUAGUCACAAGAAAUCCUAUGUAACAUGGCAUCACAACUAAUAGACUCCACAUGAGAAUCAUCAUACUCAUCAUAAAUGGGCAAAUCAUCGCAUGGGGAAAUCAUACUAGCAUGAAGCAUGGUACUAGGUGGAUCAACAUCAUGCAAGCAAUCGGUGUCAAGAAUGUCCACUAGUGGGACUAGAGCAUCACCUUCACCUAUGUUACCUUGUUCAUUAAUAACCCACAAGUAUAGGGGAUCACAACAGUUUUCGAGGGUAGAGUAUUUAAGCCAAAUUUAUUGAUUCGACACAAGGGGAGCCAAAGAAUAUUCUCAAGUAUUCGCAGUUGAGUUGUCAAUUCAACCACACCUGGAUAACUUAGUAUCUGCAGCAAACUAUUUAGUAGCAAAGUAGUAUGGAAGUAACGGUAACAGUGGCAAAAGUAACGAUAGCAGUUUUGUAGUAAUUGUAACAGUAGUAACGGUAAAGUAAAUAAGCAAAGCACAAUAUAUGAAAAGCUCGUAGGCAUUGUAUCAGUGAUAGAUAAUUAUGUCGGAUGCGAUUCCUCAUGUAAUAGUUAUAACAUAGGGUGACACAGAACUAGCUCCAAUUCAUCAAUGUAAUGUAGGCAUGUAUUCCAAAUAUAGUCAUAUGUGCUUAUGGAAAAUAACUUGCAUGACAUCUUUUGUCCUACCCUCUUGUGGCAGCGGGGUCUAAGGGAUAUUAAGGCCUCCUUUUAAUAGAGUACCAGACCAAAGCAUUAACACAUAGUGAAUACAUGAACUCCUCAAACUACGGUCAUCACCGAGAAGUAUCCCGAUUAUUGUCACUUCGGGGUUGUCGGAUCAUAACACAUAAUAGGUGACUAUAGACUUGCAAGAUUGGAUUAAUAACUCACAUAUAUUCAUGAAACAUAAUAGGUUCAGAUCUGAAAUCAUGGCACUCGGGCCCUAGUGACAAGCAUUAAGCAUAGCAAAGUCAUAGCAACAUCAAUCUCAGAACAUAGUGGAUACUAGGGAUCAAACCCUAACAAAACUAACUUGAUUACAUGAUAAAUCUCAUCCAACCCAUCACCGUCCAGCAAGCUUACGAUGGAAUUACUCACGCACGACGAUGAGCAUCAUGAAAUUGGUGACGGAGGAUGGUUGAUGAUGAUGACAGCGACGAAUCCCCCUCUCCGGAGCUCCGGACGGACUCCAGAUCAGCCCUCCCAAGAGAGAUUAGAGCUUGGCGGCGGCUCCGUAUCAUAAAACGUGAUGAAUUUUUUCUCCGCGAAAGCAAAUAUAUGGAGUUGGAGUUGAGGUCGGUGGACGUCCAGGGGGCCCAUGAGGCAGGGGGCGCGCCCCCACCCUCGUGAACAGGGUGUGGGCCCCCUGACGCUAUUUCUUUCGCCAAUAUUUUUUAUUAAUUCUGAAAAGUUGCUCUGUGGAUUUCGAGGACAUUCCCAGAACUUUUAUUUCUGCACAAAAAUUACACCAUGGCAGUUCUGCUGAAAAUAACACCAGUCCGGGUUAGUUCCAUUCAAAUCAUGCAAGUUAGAGUCCAAAACAAGGGCAAAAGUGUUUGGAAAAGUAGAUACGACGAAGACGUAUCAACUCCCCCAAGCUUAAACCUUCGCUUGUCCUCAAGCAAUUUAGUUGACAAACUGAAAGUGAUAAAGAAAAACUUUUACAAACUCUGUUUGCUCUUGUUGUUGUAAAUAUGUAAAACCAGCAUUCAAGUUUUCAGCAAAGAUUAUGAACUAACCAUAUUCACAAUAACACUUAGGUCUCAUGUUUACUCAUAUCAAUGGCAUAAUCAUCUAGCGAUCAAUAAUAAUAAAUCUCGGUUGACAACACUUUCUCAAAACAAUCAUAAUAUGAUAUAACAAAAUGGUAUCUCGCUAACCCUUUCUGAGACUGCAAAACAUAAAUGCAGAGCACAUUUAAAGAUCAAGGACUGACUAAACAUUGUAAUUCAUGGUAAAAGAGAUCCAGUCAAGUCAUACCCAAUAAAAACUAAUAGUGAUGAAUGCAAAUGUCAGUGUGCUCUCCAGCGGGUGCUUUUUAAUAAGAGGGUGAUGACUCAACAUAAAAGUAAAUAGAUAGGCCCUUCGCAGAGGGAAGCAUGGAUUUGUAGAGGUGCCAGAGCUCGAUUUUGAAAUAGAGAGAUAAAUAACAUUUUGAGCGGUAUACUGAUACGUCUCCGUCGUAUCUAUAAUUUUUGAUCUUUCCAUGCCAAUAUACUUCAACUUUCCUACACUUUUGGCAACUUUUUAUACUAUUUUUGGGACUAACAUAUUGAUCCAGUGCCCAGUGCCAGUUCCUGUCUGUUGCAUGUUUUAUGUUUCGCAGAAAACCAAUAUCAAACGGAAUCCAAACAGGAUAAAAACGGACGGAGGAUUAUUUUGGAAUAUUUGGGAUUUUUCGAAGGAAGAAUCAACGCGAAACAGUGUCCGAGGUGGCCACGAGACAGGGGGGCGCCCCCCUGGGAGCGCCCUAGACUCUCGUGGGCCACCCGUAAGGCGGUUGAUGCCCUUCUUUUGCCGCAACAAAGCUAAUUUUAUGAGAAAAAUCUGGGCGAAAGAUUCACCCCAAUCGGAGUUACGGAUCUCCGGGAAUAUAAGAAACGGUGAAGGGGUAGAAUCAUAGAAUGCAGAAACUGUUGGAAAUAUGCCCUAGAGGCAAUAAUAAAUGAGUUAUUAUUAUUAUAUUUCCUUGUUCAUGAUAAUCAUUUAUUACCCAUGCUAUAAUUGUAUUGAUAGGGAACUCAGAUACAUGUGUGGGUACAUAGACAACACCAUGUCCCUAGUAAGCCUCUAGUUGACUAGCUCGUUGAUCAAUAGAUGGUUACGGUUUCCUGACCAUGGACAUUGGAUGUCGUUGAGAAUGGGAUCACAUCAUUAGGAGAAUGAUGUUAUGGACAAGACCCAAUCCUAAGCCUAGCACAAAGAUCGUGUAGUUCGUGUGUUAAAGCUUUUCUAAUGUCAAGUAUCAUUUCUUUAGACCAUGAGAUUGUGCAAUUCCCGGAUACCGUAGGAAUGCUUUGGGUGUACCAAACGUCAUAACGUAACUGGGUGGCUAUAAAGGUGCACUACAUGUAUCUCCGAAAGUGUCUGUUGGGUUGGCACGAAUCGAGACUGGGAUUUGUCGCUCCGAUUGACGGAGAGGUAUCUCUGGGCCCACUCGGUAGGACAUCAUCAUGAUGUGCAUAAUGUGACCAAGGGGUUGAUCACGGGAUGAUGUGUUACGGAACGAGUAAAGACUCUUGCCGGUAACGAGAUUGAACAAGGUAUCCGGAUACCGACGAUCGAAUCUCGGGCAAGUACAAUACCGCUAGACAAAGGGAAUUGUAUACGGGAUUGAUUGAGUCCUCGACAUCGUGGUUCAUCCGAUGAGAUCAUCAUGGAACAUGUGGGAGCCAACAUGGGUAUCCAGAUCCCGCUAUUGGUUAUUGACCGGAGAACGUCUCGGUCAUGUCUACAUGGUUCCCGAACCCGUAGGGUCUACACACUUAAGGUUCGAUGACGCUAGGGUUAUAGGGAAUAGAUAUACGUGGUGGUUACUGAAUGUUGUUUGGAGUCCCGGAUGAGAUCUCGGACGUCACGAGGAGUUCCGGAAUGGUGCGGAGGUAAAGAUUUAUAUAUGGGAAGUCCUGUUUUGGUCACCGAAAAAGUUUCGGGUGUUAUCGGUAACGUAUCGGGACCACCGGGAGGGUCCCGGGGGUCCACCAAGUGGGGCCACCGGCCCCAGAGGGCAGCAUGGGACAAGUGUGGGAGGGAACCAGCCCCAGGUGGGCUGGUGCGCCCCCACAAGGGCCCAAGGCGCCUAGGGUUUGGGGAGGGGGCGCACCCACCUUACUUGGGGGGCAAGUUUCCCCUCUUCCCCCCCUUGGCCGCCACCCUAGAUGGGUUUUUGGGGCAGCCGCACCCCUUGGGAUGGGAACCCUAAGGGGGGCGUAGGCCCCUCCCUCUCCCCUAUAUAUACUUGAGGUUUUGGGGCUGCUACUCAUAAGAGUUUCCACCUCUCCCCGGUGCAGCCCUACCUCUCUUUCUCCUUAUCUCCCGCGGUGCUUGGCGAAGCCCUGCUGGAUUACCACGCUCCUCCAUCACCACCACGCCGUUGUGCUGCUGCUGGAUGGAGUCUUCCUCAACCUCUCCCUCUCUCCUUGCUGGAUCAAGGAAUGGGAGACGUCACCGGGCUGCACGUGUGUUGAACGCGGAGGUGCCGUCCGUUCGGCACUAGGAUCUCCGGUGAUUUGGAUCACGAUGAGUAUGACUCCUUCAACCCCGUUCUCUUGAACGCUUCCGCUUAGCGAUCUACAAGGGUAUGUAGAUGCACUCCCCUCUCUCUCAUUGCUAGUUUCUCCAUAGAUAGAUCUUGGUGACUCGUAGGAAUUUUUUUGAAUUUUUGCUACGUUCCCCAACAGUGGCAUCAUGAGCUAGGUCUAUUGCGUAGAUUCUAUGCACAAGUAGAACACAAAGUAGUUGUGGGCGUUGAUUUUGUUCAAUAUGCUUAUCGUUACUAGUCCAAUCUUGUUUCGACGGUAUUGUGGGAUGAAGCGGCCCGGACCGACCUUACACGUACACUUACGUGAGAUGGGUUCCACCGACUGACAUGCACUUGUUGCAUAAGGUGGCUAGCGGGUGCCAGUCUCUCCCACUUUAGUCGGAUCGGAUUCGAUGAAAAGGGUCCUUAUGAAGGGUAAAUAGCAAUUGACAUAUCACGUUGUGGUUUUUGCGUAGGUAAGAAACAUUCUUGCUAGAAACCCAUAGCAGCCACGUAAAACAUGCAAACAACAAUUAGAGGACGUCUAACUUGUUUUUGCUGGGUAUGCUAUGUGUGAUAUGGCCGAAAAGAAUGUGAUGAAUGAUAUGUGAUGUAUGAGAUUGAUCAUGUUCUUGUAAUAGGAAUCACGACUUGCAUGUCGAUGAGUAUGACAACCGGCAGGAGCCAUAGGAGUUGUCUUUAUUUAUUGUAUGACAUGCGUGUCACUGAACAACACCAUGUAAUUACUUUACUUUAUUGCUAAACCGUUAGCCAUAGUAGUAGAAGUAAUAGUUGGCGAGACAACUUCAUGGAGACACGAUGAUGGAGAUCAUGAUGAUGGAGAUCAUGGUGUCAUGCCGGUGACGAUGAUGAUCAUGGAGCCCCGAAGAUGGAGAUCAAAAGGAGCGAAAUGAUAUUGGCCAUAUCAUGUCACUUUUUGAUUGCAUGUGAUGUUUAUCAUGUUUAUGCAUCUUAUUUGCUUAGAACGACGGUAGUAAAUAAGAUGAUCCCUCAUUAAAAUUUCAAGAAAGUGUUCCCCCUAACUGUGCACCGUUGCGAAAGUUUGUUGUUUCGAAGCACCACGUGAUGAUCGGGUGUGAUAGGUUCUAACGUUCACAUACAACGGGUGUAAGCCAGAUUUACACACGCGAAACACUUAGGUUGACUUGACGAGCCUAGCAUGUACAAACAUGGCCUCGGAACACAAGAGACCGAAAGGUCAAGCAUGAGUCGUAUAGUAGAUACGAUCAACAUGAAGAUGUUCACCGAUGAUAACUAGUCCGUCUCACAUGAUGAUCGGACACGGCCCAGUUGACUCGGAUCAUGUAUCACUUAGAUGACUAGAGGGAUGUCUAUCCGAGUGGGAGUUCAUAAGAUGAACUUAAUUAUCCUGAACAUAGUCACAAGAUUCUUGCAAAUUAUGUCAUAGCUCGUGUUUAGUUCUACUAUUUUAGAUAUGUUCCUAGAGAAAAUUUAGUUGAAAGUUGAUAGUAGCAAUUAUGCGGACUGGGUCCGUAAACUGAGGAUUGUCCUCGUUGCUUCGUAGAAGGCUUAUGUCCUUAAUGCACCGCUCGGUGUGCUGAACCUCGAACGUCGUUUGUGGAUGUUGCGAACAUCUGACAUACACAUUUUGAUAACUACGUGAUAGUUCAGUUAAAUGGUUUAGAGUUGAGGCACCAAGGACGUUUUCGAAACGUCACAGAACAUAUGAGAUGUUUUGAGGGCUGAAAUUGGGAUUUCAGGCCCGUGCCCACGUUAAGAGGUACAAGACCUCCGAUGAUUUUCUUAGCCUGCAAACUAAGGGAGAAAAGCUCAAUCGUUGAGCUUGUGCUCAGAUUGUCUGAGUACAACAAUCACUUGAAUCGAGUGGGAGUUAAUCUUCCAGAUGAGAUAGUGAUGUUUCUCCAAAGUCAUUGCCACGAAGCUACCAGAGCUUCGUGAUGAACUAUAACAUAUCAGGGAUAGAUAUGAUGAUCCUUGAAGUAUUCACGAUGUUUGACACCACGAAAGUAGAAGUCAAGUAGGAGCAUCAAUUGUUGAUGGUUAGUAAAACCACUACUUUCAAGAAGGGCAAGGGCAAGAAGGGAUGCUUCAUGAAACGGCAAAACAGUUGCUGCUCUAGUGAAGACCCAAGGUUGAACCCAAACCCGAGACUAAGUGCUUCUGUAAUGAGAGGAAUAGACACUAAAGCAGAACCACCGUAGAUACUUGGUAGAUGAGAAGGCUGGCAAGGUCGAUAGAAGUAUAUUGGAUAUACAUUAUGUUAAUGUGUACUUUACUAGUACUCCUAGUAGCACCAGGGUAUUAGAUACCGGUUUGGUUGCUAAGUGUUAGUAACUCGAAAUAAAAGCUACGGAAUAAACGGAGACUAGCUAAAGGUGAGCUGACGAUAUGUGUUGGAAGUGUUUCCAAGGUUGAUGUGAUCAAGCAUCGCACGCUCCCUCUACCAUCGAGAUUGGUGUUAAACCUAAAUAAUUGUUAUUUGGUGUUUGCGUUGAGCAUAGACAUGAUUGGAUUAUGUCUAUCGCAAUACGGUUAUUCAUUUAAGGAGAAUACUGGUUACUCUAUUUAUUUGAAUGAUACCUUUAAUGGUCUUGCACCUAAAAGAAUGGUUUAUUGAAUCUCGAUCGUAGUGAUACACAUUUUCAUGCCAAAAGAUAUAAGAUAGUAAUGAUAGUACCACUUACUUGAGGCACUGCCAUGUAAGUCAUAUUGGUAUAAAACACAUGAAGAAGCUCCAUGUUGAUGGAUCUUUGGACUCACUCGUUUUUGAAAUGUUUGAGACAUGCGAACCAUGUCUAUUGGUGUAUAUGCAUGAAUAAACUCCAUGCAAAUGGACCAUUUGGACUCACUUGGUUUUGAAUCACUGGAGACAGGCAAAUCAUACCACAUGGGCAAGAUGACUGAAAGCCUCGUUUUCAGUAAAAUGGAACAAGAAAGCAACUUGUUGGAAGUAAUACAUUUUGAUGUGUGCAGUCCAAUGAGUGCUGAGGCACGCAGUGGAUAUCGUUAUGUUCUUACUUCACGGAUGAUUUGAGUAGAUACUGAGUAUAUUUACUUGAUGAAACACAAGUCUGAAUUAUUGAAUGGUUCAAGUAAUUUCAAAGUGAAGUUGAAGGUCAUCGUGACAAGAGGAUAAAAUGUCUAUGAUAUGAUCAUAGAGAUGAGUAUCUGAGUUACGAGCUUUGGCACGCAAUUAAGACAUUGUGGAAAUUGUUUCACAAUUAAUACCGCUUGGAACACCAUAAUAGGAUGGUGUGUCCGAACAUCAUAUUUGCACCCUAUUGGAUAUGGUGCAUACCAUGAUAUAUCUUAUCCAAUUACCACUAUCGUUCAUGGGUUAGGCAUUAGAGACAACCACACUCACUUUAAUAGGGCACCAUGUAAUUCCGUUGAGAUGACACCAUUUGAACUAUGGUUUGGAGAAACCUAAGUUGUCGUUUCUUGAAAGUUUGGGGUUGCGACGCUUAUAUGAAAAGUUUCAUCGUGAUAAGCUCGAACCCAAAGCGGAUAAAUACAUCUUCAUAGGUUACCCAAAAUGGUUGGGUAUACCUCCUAAUUCAUAUCCGAAAGCAAUAGGGAUUGUUUCUUGAAUCGGGUCCUUUCUCGAGGAAAGGUUUGUCUCGAAAGAAUUGAGUGGGAGGAUGGUGGAGACUUGAUGAGGUUGUUGAACCAUCACUUCAACUAGUGUGUAGCAGGGCACAUGAAGUUGUUCCUGUGGCACCUACACCAAUUGAAGUAGAAGCUUAUGAUAGUGAUCAUGAAACUUCGGAUCAAGUCACUACCAAACCUCGUAGGUCGACAAGGAUGUGUACUGCUUCAGAGUGGUACGUAAUCCUGUCUUGGAGGUCAUGUUGCUAGAGAACAAUGAACCUACGAGCUAAGGAGAAGCGAUGGUGGGCCCGAAUUCCGAUGAAUGGCUCGAGGCCAUAAAAUUCGAGAGAGGAUCCAUGUGUGAAUACAAAGUGUAGACUUUGGCAGAACUACUUGAUGGUCGUAAGGCUAUUGAGUAUAGAUGGAUUUUAAAAGGAAGACAGACAAUGAUGGUAAGUAUCACCACUAAGAAAGCUCGACUUGUUGUUAAGAUGUUUUCCGACAAGUUCAAGGAGUUGACUACGAUGAGACUUUCUCACUCGUAGCGAUGCUAAGAGUCUGUUGGAAUUAUAUUAGCAAUUACUGCAUGAUUUAUGAAAUCUUGCAGAUAGGAUGACAAAACAUUGUUUCCUCGACGAUAUUCUUGAGGAAAGGUUGUAUGUGAUACAACCAGAAGGUUUUGUCAAUCCGAAAAGAUGCUAACAAGUAUGCAAAGCUCCAGCAAUCCUUCUAAGGACUGGAGUAAGCAUCUCGGAGUUGGAAUGUACGCUUUGAUGAGGUGAUCAAAGAUUUUGGGUUUAUACAAAGUUUAUGAGAAACUUGUAUUUCCAAAGAAGUGAGUGGGAGUACUAUAGCAUUUCUGAUGAGUAUAUGUUGUUGACAUAUUGUUGAUCGGAAAUGAUGUAGAAUUUCUGGAAAGCAUAUAGGGUUGUUUGAAAGGUGUUUUUCAAUAGAAAACCUGGAUUAAGCUGCUUGAACAUUGUGCAUCAAGAUUGUUCGAUUUUGGGUUCCGGCAGACCCUCUAGGUUCGAACUCUAGGGUGCGCAUGGAGGUCCAGCCUUCUACUUCCUGCGCCUCGCCGCCUCGCUAGGAUCUAAGCUAUGAAACAAGCAAUACAAGAGACACAGGGUUUAUACUAGUUCGGGCCACCAUUGUGGUGUAAUACCCUACUCUAGUGUGUGGUGUGGUGGAUUGCCUCUUGGGAUGAUGAUGAAAAAUACAAGGAAGAACAGCCUCGCGAGGGUCUGUUCUUGGCUGGCAUGAUGAACUACUAGAGGGAGUUCAGUCGCUCUCUCUACUGGUUUCCUGGUGGGGAUCCGAUCUGCCCCUACCUUGUGGUGGCUAGUCCUAUUUAUAGGCAAAGGCCCUGGGCCUCUUCCCAAAUAUUGAGCGGGAAGGGCGCCAACAAUUGGCCAUUUUGAAGGGGAACAUCUAGUACACUUAUCCUGACUAAAGUUGGUCCUCGCCUACCAAAGGCUCUGGUGGUGAUGCCGGCUUGGGCUCCAUGAUGACCUCCAUCCUGCCGUUCUGCUGGUCUUGGUCUUGUUGCACCGAAAUGGACGCCUUUGCUUGAUGCUCUCGCCUGCGCUUGCUCCCUUUGCACCAAAGAGGAAAGGGAGGACACUACAUGGCCUGGCGCCCGCCUGGCGCCCUUGGUCGUCAUGGCUUGCAUCAUGGGCACCUCGUGAGGUACCCUGCCUUGAUCUCUCCGCCUCCUCGCGAGCUAGCCUGACGAGGCCGUGCCUGAGGAAGCUUCCUGUCGUCCACCCCACGAGGCUUGGCCCCUCGCGAGGGUCUUGAGCUCGUGCUGAUGAAGAUGGGCCAUGCUGGGCCACCCCUUGAGCCACGCCGCAGGCUGUAGGCAGGCAAGUCUGGGGACCCCCGUUCCCAGAACGCCAACAGUAGCCCCCGGGCCCAAGGCGCGCCCGGACUUGGCUGAGCAGAGAGGCGAAGGGGCAAGUGCGAAGCACCGCGGGCCCAAACAGCCUGCGGCCUUGGGCGCCACGACGCGGUUGAUUGGACGUGGGUGGCCCUGCUUGCCCACGCCUCCUCAUUUUUCGCCCAGCUAGGCGGACCCGUGGUUGUACACAGUCUUUCCUCUUUUCGCCGCUCGACCGUCCCCUUCUCUUCCUCCUCUCGAGCUCCAGUCUCUGCUUCCAAUCCAAUCUCGAAUCCUCCCUCUUCCCGUCUCCAUGGCUCUGACGAAGAAGGGAAAAGGGAAGAAACCGGUGCCUCCGCCUCGCUCGCCGUCAUCGGCGGCUCCCGCCGUCGAUCGGUCGAUCAUACUCAACCGAGAAGGCUUGAGCAAGGUCAUCUCUGCUCUGGCCACCAUCUUCAACGAGUGCGGGAGGACGACAGCCUGGCCCGCAUCCCACUUCUCCAUCGACAGGGUGGUCACCGAGGUCCAAUACUUUGCCAACGCCCUGUGGGCGGGAUUAGUUCCCCCCUUUUCUGAUUUCUUCAACGCCGUGCUUUCCCAUUACCAGAUCCAUAUGAUGCAUUUGGGUCCUGAAUCCAUUACUCUUCUUGCCGCCUUCGCCUUUGUCUGUGAGGUGAUGAUGGGCAUCCCUCCUUCGGUUGCCUUGCUGCGCCACUUCUUCUCUCUGCGCCUCGUCGAUCCCACCCAAUGCUUCGGGUGCAUGAGCUUCAUUGCCGCACCAGAAACAGCGGCUUCAGGGAUUGAUUUCAGCCUUCCUCCGUUCGCGCCCGGGUUCCGCGAGCGGUGGCUGUACGUGGACGUAGGGGUGCCCAGCCCCUGCUUUCAGAGCCAAAGUCGCCUGCUGUCCCCAAUUCAGGCUGGGGCCAGGAGACGCUCACGAGCCCCCGACUCAUCUUCAUCUGGCAUCGCUUCGCGCUCUUGAGGGCGCUCGGUGUGACGGCGCCCAAGGUGGUGAAGGAGUUCCUGCUAUGCCGCAUUGCUCCUCUCCAGCGCCACUCCCGCUGGAUGUGGUCCUUCAGCGGGCGUGAAGAUCGCAUGAGGCUCCAGGAGGAGGACCUGACGCCCGAAGCACUGAGGAAGGUGCUCUUGGUCUUGACUGGGGACCCUUCCCCCGGCAGCAUCCGGCAUGGGGGGGGGGCUUUGCUAUACCUUUGCUCGAACAGGGGCGACUUUGUGAAGCAGAUGCCCGGCUUUGAUGAAUGGGGGCUGCGCCCCGCUGGCCUCAGGGGUCCUCGCGAGAACCCAGUGAUGGUGACUGCCCUCCCAGUCGCCCACGGCGGUCCUUCCUCGAGUGGCGGAGCAGGGAGGCAUGGGCCGCCGGAGGCUGAGGGGUCCCCGCCGGAGUGACGAUGCCAGGCAGCACUCUUGAGGGGCAGCUCCUGAGGCCCGUACUGCUGCGGCUGGAGGCGCUGAGCCACUUCCCACGGCGCCUGUGGUUGAGGCCCCUGGGGCCCCAGCUAUCCUUCUUGGUGAGGCGACCGGCGGUGUGCAUCAGGACGACACACCAGACGCUGGGCAUCUUUACGCUUCUUCCUCGUCGCAGGCUGACCCCUGCGCUCAACUCCUGGGUCGCUUCUGCAUGGACUUCGAGGCCCUCCGGAAGAAAACGGAGGCCUUGGGUGAUGAUUACCCUUACCGCCUGCUGAAGCGCCAGAAGUAUUUCGCCAUUGAUGAGUAAGCCUUCCCCUUUCCUAGCUCCCGAUCCUCCCGUUGCUUUGGCUGAUCCUUGCUCUGCAGGGCCCUUCCUGCCGAUCUCACGGAGAUGGAUGAGGAUUCAUCCCCCAGGCUCCGCCCUCUCCACCGCCUUCGAGCGCUCCGAGUCCCAGCAGAGCCCUCGCGGUGAGGCCGGCUGGAGAGGCGAGCCAUCCUGUGGUACAUCGCGGCCCUGCGCGCCUCGCGACCCUCCUUCGCGAGCCUUCUCGGGGCAUAGCCGGCCUGCCUUGGGCCUCGCGUCUGAUCAUGGAUGGCGAUUGGCUGAGGUCGGCCCUGCGCUCUUCAUUCGGGGAGGGGCUGGCUCCUGGCCGGGCUUCUGUCGGGGCGUGCCCGGCCAUCACGAGGGCGCUAGCCCCCAGCCCCCUGCCCAGAGGGGGAGUUCUGAUCCAUGGCCCCAAGCGCUUACUUGGGGCGGAUGGCAACACAGAAGACGUGCUCGAGCGCGCCCGGAGGCGUCGUGUUCUUCGCCAAGGGUUUCUCCAGACGGCGGCUGACGCGGUGAGCCAGCUUGGCGAAGAGCUUGAUGAUGAAGACGCGCGCCUUGAGGCUGAGGGCCUGCGCUUGGCUGAAGAGAGGCGCAAGCUGGAGGCGGCCGUUGCCCUUGUACGCCACCAGCGUGACCUCGACACUGAGGAGGCCGAGGCGUUGCUGGCGGCCUCUCGGGAGGCCCGUUCCCGGUCUGUCGAGGAGGCCCGAGAGGCUGAUCGGCGGCAUGAGGCGGUGGAUGAGCGGUCACGGGAACUCCUUGCCCGGUGCCACUCCCUGGAGUAGCAGGUGGAGCUGCAUGAGACGGCCCUUGCGUCAAUGAAGGUGGCUUCGGUCGACCAGGCAGAGCUCCUGAGGCAUGAGGAGGCGCUGACGCUGGAAGCUGCUGAGCGCGCACGCGACCUUGAACGUCUGGAGACGAGAGAGCACCUGGUGACACAAGCGGAGGAUGACGUUGUAGCGCGUGAGGCCCGAGUCCUGGAAGAGGUUGAACGCGGGGUGACCACAGCUCGCUUGAACCUCGAGCGCGAACUCGAGGAGAGGCUGGGGUUGAUCCGGGUCGAGGCUGAAGGCAGGACCGCUGCCCUGAGGGCCAAGCUGGAGGAAGCGACGCGGCGGGCCGAUGCCUCCCGGGCCGCCCUCGAUGUGGCAUAGGAGGAUCUGACUACCUCCCGUGCCGAGGCGCUUCUUCUCUGCCAGCGGGUGGACGAGGCCGAGGCCGUUGGGCGGCAGAACGAGGACGAGAUACGCCAGCGGCAGAUUCUAGAGCACGAGCACGGCCCCAUGCUCACCAGGCUCCGGGAGAGAGCCAACACGGCCUUGGGUAACAUCUGCGAGGCGGCCGUUGACUAGCCCCACGCAGUCAACUAUGCUGGCAAUCUUCAGUUCUUCACCAACAUGGUGACGCAGCUGGAGGCGCGGUCGGUCGGUGCCAACAGGCUGGUGGAGGAGAGGAGCCGCGCCCUGCUCGGACGCGCCUUCUCUCGUGUCUUCAGCCACCUUCAGAACAUGUUCCCCAACUUCGACUUUGACGCCACCAUCGCUCUAGUACCCCAGGCCUUCCGGGGCGACCUGGCGCAAUGGGUGGAAGACAACGUGGAUGCCCUUGUCAAGGCCUUCGCUUUUGAUAACGACAACAUGGUCAUGGCUGCUGAUGAAGGUGAGGUGGUGAACGGCCCUGGCGCCGCUGCCGGCGACGCGUAGGGCAAUGGCGAGGCCAGCGACGCCAGCGACGAUUCAGGAGGCGCCCCUGAGGAUGCAUUGGGGGAUUUAUCCGACUGACCGCAUGUUGUCCCUGCUUCCUUACCCUGCGCAGAUAGAGUUCGGGUCUUGCCCUGAAGGUUGUAAGAGCAUUUUGGGAGGGGGAGCCCCUCAUGUAAAAACUCGCAUUCAGUGUAUUGGUAGAUGCAAUAUCACUCGUACGCCUGCGCCAAGUGGCUGAUUUUGCAUCGAGCUGGUUGGCUUGUUUACCUUCGACCUGCGUGGGCCCCUAGUCGGCUUGCGGAGGGCUGUGGUGUCUCGAGCGUCUCCUGAACGAGCCCAUCGAACCUGUAAUGAAAACCUCCUGAGAGGGCACGGCGACGACAGUCUGGGCUGCACGCAAGCUAGGCCUGGCCCGGCUCGCGAGGGGCUCACGAGGGGAGGCAGCUGAGGCGAAGCGGUAACCAGAACGUGAGAGAUUGCUCGAACGAGACUAAACACCCCUUCCCCAAACACACGCAAAUCUUCAAGCUCAAAUCCAACUUAAAUUCAACGGGGGAAAACGACAACCAAGGGGAAAAGCAACGAAAGCAGAAAAAAGGCCGCGUCUGGCACCUAGUCUAGUCUUGGACGUCUUCUCACCAGUGCGGAGCUAAGUGCUGCCACUGGGCGUGGGAGGGAGCCCCAGGGCCUGAGGCCGGCACCCCUGAGACUCCGGGGCAUGUACAGCCCCACUCAUUAUUACGUGAGAGUGUCACGGGGCGGCGAGCUUCAUAGGCACUGGGCCUUCUUCACAGGUACCGCCCUUGCUUCAUAUCGCCAGACGAGGGCCCCGCCUUGCGCUGCACUCUCGUGCCACCGAUGACGACCGGAAACCAGGACGCCGCCGAUGGGGUAGAGCGGUCGCCAGCGGUUCCCCCGACGACCACAGGUCCUCUGCCAGGGGCAAGCUCUGGGGCACCUCCCCAGCAGAGGGCCUACCUCCUGAGGACGCCUUGCUCCGAAUGCCGUGGUGGUGAUGUCGGAUCUUGUCCCCUCUCCUGCAGCCCCCGACGCCCUCCUCCUGAGGGGUAGGAAGCUGCGGGAGUGGGGCAGGCGCCCGUUGUCGUGACCUGCACCUCCUGCGAUCCAUGGUUGGCGUAUGCCUGCUCCUCAGGAAUUAGUGAUACCUGAUACUCGUUGUUUCCAGCGUAGCCGACGGGGCCUUCUCGGGGCUCCUGGAAGAGUUCAGCUUCUGGCGUCUCGUCCCCCCAGCUUGGGCCGAGGAGCGGGCCUUGUUCGUCCUCAUGUGUGCACCCUUGGUCCAUCAUGUGGGGCACGUACUCUUCUGGGGUCGCCACCCCGAAGGCCGCGCCAUAGCGCUCUGCGUGCCACGCAGUUCUGCUUGAUGUGCCCGCCUGGGGGUGAUAGUGCGGCGGCCCACCGGGGCCGCGGGUUGUGGCAAGUCCUUCUUUGAUGGCCAGGGGCGGAGGCAGCGCCGCUACUGGCCCAGGGCUGACGGCCUGGCCGGCGUUGGGGUGGCCUUGGAGUCCGCUUGGGGCCGCGCCGGCAUGCACGGAGCCCCUGUGCGGGCCACCCUGGACCUGAGGUGGGAGUUGGGUGUAGAAGGGGGGAGCCCCCAAGGCGGCGAAGCCCAGGAGCUCUGCCACGCGCUCUAGCAGCACGUCGUGACCGCCUUCCAGCAGCCUGCACUGCAGCAGCUCUCGGGCCACGGUGAGCGCGGCCCUCGAGUUUGCCUGCUCCCGUCGGGUGUACGGCACCGUGGCCGCAGCGUGGUGGGAGGCCCUCACCGUCGACCGCGCCUGCCAUGUCGUGAGAGCUGUUGCCGCCUGUCCGCGCCGCCCGCGGCCCCCAGCGCCCUGCGGACCGCGAGCUUCCUGGGGCAUGGGGUUGCCCGGGGCGAGCGGUUCUGCGCAGGCGGGCCAGGCCGCCCAAGGAUCAUGGUUGCCUGCCUGGUCGCCGGACAUGAUGAUGACAAUGCGAUGGGACGCGAAGAGGCAGAAGGUGGAUUCCGGCGCACCCCUACCUGGCGCGCCAAAUGUCGGAUUUUGGGUUCCGACAGAUCCUCUAGGUUCGAACUCUAGGGUGCGCGCGGAGAUCCAGCCUUCUACUGCCUGCGCCUCGCUGCCUCGCUAGGAUCUAAGCUAUGAAACGAGCAAUACAAGAGACACAGGGUUUAUACUAGUUCGGGCCACCAUUAUGGUGUAAUACCCUACUCUAGUGUGUGGUGUGGUGGAUUGCCUCUUGGGCUGAUGAUGAACAGUACAAGGAAGAACAGCCUCGCGAGGGUCUGUUCUUGGCUGGUGCGAUGAACUACUAGAGGGAGUUCAGUCGCUCUCUCUACUGGUUUCCUGGUGGGGAUCCGAUCUGCCCCUACCUUGUGGUGGCUAGUCCUAUUUAUAGGCAAAGGCCCUGGGCCUCUUCCCAAAUAUUGAGCGGGAAGGGCGCCAACAAUUGGCCAUUUUGAAGGGGAACAUCUAGUACACUUAUCCUGACUAAAGUUGGUCCUCGCCUGCCAAAGGCUCUGGUGGUGACGCCGACUUGGGCUCCACAAUGACCUCCAUCCUACCGUUCUGCUGGUCUUGGUCUUGUUGCACCGAAAUGGACGCCUUUGCUUGAUGCUCUCGCCUGCGCUUGCUCCCUUUGCACCAAAGAGGAAAGGGAGGACACUGCGCGGCCUGGCGCCCGCCUGGCGCCCUUGGUCGUCAUGGCUUGCGUCAUGGGCACCUUGUGAGGUACCCCGCCAUGAUCUCUCCGCCUCCUCGCGAGCCAGCCUGACGAGGCCGUGCCUGAGGAAGCUUCCUGCCGUCCGCCCCGUGAGGCUUGGCCCCUCGCGAGGGUCUUGAGCUCGCGCUGAUGAAGAUGGGCCAUGUUGGGCCGCCCCUUGAGCCAUGCCGCGGGCCACAGGCAGGCAAGUCUGGGGACCCCCGUUCCUAGAACGCCAACAAAGAUCUAUGAGGAUAGAUCAAAAACCGCUAAAUGGUACUUUCAAAUGAGCACAUACCUUGACAUGAUCUUGAAGGUGUUCAAGAUGGAUCAGUCAAAGAAGGAGUUCUUGCCUGAGUUGUAAGGUAUGAAGUUAAAGCUUGACCACGGCAGAAGAAAGAGAAAGGACGAAGGUCGUCCCUUAUGCUUCAGACGUAGGCUCUAUAGUAUGCUAUGCUGUGUACCACACCGGAAGUGUGCCUUGCCAUGAGUCAGUCAAGGGGUACAAGAAUGAUCCAGGAAUGGAUCAUUGGACAGCGGUCAAAAUUGUCCUUGGAGUAAAUAAGGACAUGUUUCUCGAUUAUGGAGGUGAUAAAGAGUUCGGCGUAAAGGGUUACGUCAAUGCAAGCUUUAACACCUAUCCGAAUGACUCUGAGUAGCAAACCGGAUACGUACAGUGGAGCAACCAUUUGGAAUAGCUCCAAGUGGAGCGUGGAAGCAGCAUUUACAAGAUGACCUAGAGAUUUGCGAAGUACAUACAUAUCUGAAUGUUGCAGACCCGUUGACUAAAACUUCUCUCACAAGCAAAACAUGAUCAAACCCUAGAACUCAUUGAGUCUUAAUCACAUGAUGAUGUGAACUAGUUUAGUUACACUAAUGAACUCUUUGGAUGUUGGUCACAUGGCGAUGUGACCUAUCAAUGUUAAUCACAUGGCGAUGUGAACUAGAUUAUUGACUCUAGUGCAAGUGGGAGACUAUUGGAAAUAUGCCCUAGAGGCAAUAAUAAAUUAGCUAUUAUUAUUAUAUUUCCUUGUUCAUGAUAAUCGUUUAUUAUCCAUGCUAUAAUUGUAUUGAUAGGGAACUCAGAUACAUGUGUGGGUACAUAGACAACACCAUGUCCCUAGUAAGGCUCUAGUUGACUAGCUCGUUGAUCAAUAGAUGGUUAUGGUUUCCUGACCAUGGACAUUGGAUGUUGUUGAUAACGGGAUCACAUCAUUAGGAGAAUGAUGUGAUGGACAAGACCCAAUCCUAAGCCUAGCACAAAGAUCGUGUAGUUCAUAUGCUAAAGCUUUUCUAAUGUCAAGUAUCAUUUCCUUAGACCAUGAGAUUGUGCAACUCCCGGAUACCGUAGGAAUGCUUUGGGUGUACCAAACGUCACAACGUAACUGGGUGGAUAUAAAGGUGCACUACAUGUAUCUCCGAAAGUGUCUGUUGGGUUGGCACGAAUCGAGACUGGGAUUUGUCGCUCCGGUUGACGGAGAGGUAUCUCCGGGCCCACUCGGUAGGACAUCAUCAUGAUGUGCACAAUGUGACCAAGGGGUUGAUCACGGGAUGAUGUGUUACGGAACGAGUAAAGAGACUUGCCGGUAACGAGAUUGAACAAGGUAUCGGGAUAUCGACGAUCGAAUCUCGGGAAAGUACAAUACCGCUAGCAAAGGGAAUUGUAUAUGGGAUUGAUUGAGUCCUCGACAUCGUGGUUCAUUCGAUGAGAUCAUCGUGGAACAUGUGGGAGCCAACAUGGGUAUCCAGAUCCCACUGUUGGUUAUUGACCGGAGAACGUCUCGGUCAUGUCUACAUGGUUCCCGAACCCGUAGGGUCUACACACUUAAGGUUCGAUGAUGCUAGGGUUAUAGGGAAUAGAUAUACAUGGUUACCAAAAGUUGUUCAGAGUCCCGGAUGAGAUCCCGAACGUCACGAGGAGUUCCGGAAUGGUCCGGAGGUAAAGAUUUAUAUAUGGGAAGUCCUAUUUUGGUCACCGAAAAAGUUUCGGGUGUUAUCGAUAACGUACCGGGACCACCGGGAGGGUCCCGGGGGUCCACCAAGUGAGGCCACCGGCCCCAGAGGGCAGCAUGGGCAAAGUGUAGGAGGGUACCAGCCCCAGGUGGGCUGGUGCACCCCCCCACAAGGGCCCAAGGCGCCUAGGGUUUGGGGAGGGGGCGCACCCACCUUACUUGGGGGGUAAGUUUCCCCUCUUCCCCCCCUUGGCCGCCACCAUAGAUGGGUUUUUGGGGCAGCCGCACCCCUUGGGGUGGGAACCCUAAGGGGGGCACAUCCCCCUCCCUCUCCCCUAUAUAUACUUGAGGUUUUGGGGCUGCUACACAUAAGAGUUUCCACCUCUCCCUGGCGCAGCCCUACCUCUCUUUCUCCUUGUCUCCCGCGGUGCUUGGCGAAGCCCUGCUGGAUUACCACGCUCCUCCAUCACCACCACGCCAUUGUGCUGCUGCUGGAUGGAGUCUUCCUCAACCUCUCCCUCUCUCCUUGCUGGAUCAAGGCAUGGGAGAUGUCACCGGGCUGCACGUGUGUUGAACACGGAGGUGCCGUCCGUUCGGCACUAGGAUCUCCGGCGAUUUGGAUCACGAUGAGUACGACUCCUUCAACCCCGUUCUCCUGAAUGCUUCCUCUUAGCGAUCUACACGGGUAUGUAGAUGCACUCCCCUAUCUCUCGUUGCUAGUUUCUUCAUAGAUAGAUCUCGGUGACUCGUAGGAAAAUUGUUGAAUUUCUUCUACGUUCCCCAACAGAAACAGAGAGAUAGAUCCAAUCUCGGAGGGGCUCUCACCCCUCCCAAGCCAUGGGAUCCAAGGACCAGAGGGGAAACCCUUCUCCCAUCUAGGGAGGAGGUCAAGGAAGAAGAAGAAGAAGGGGGCCUCUCUCCCGCUUGCUUCCGGUGGCGCCGGAGCGCUGGCGGGGGCCAUCAUCAUCACUGCGAUCUUCACCAACACCGCCGUCAUCUUCACCAACAUCUCCAUCACCUUCCCCGAUCUAUAUCAAGCGGUCCACUCUCCCACAUCCCGCUGUACCCUCUACUUUCAUAUGGUGCUUUAUGCUUCAUAUUAUUUUCCAAUGAUGUGUUGCCAUCCUAUGAUGUCUGAGUAGAUUUCCGUUGUCCUAUCGGUGAUUGAUGAAUUUCUAUGAUUGGUUUGAGUUGCAUAUUUUAUUAUUCGUGUUGUCCUAUGGUGCCCUCCGUGUCGCACAAGCGUGAGGGAUUCCCGCUGUAGGGUGUUGCAAUGCAUUCAUGAUUCGCUUAUAGUGGGUUGCGUGAGUGACUGAAACACAAACCCGAGUAAGUAGAUUGUUGCGUAUGGGAUAAAGGGGACUUGAUACUUUAAUGCUAUGGUUGGGUUUUACCUUGAUGAAUCUUUCGUAGUUGCGGAUGCUUUCUAGAGUUCCAAUCAUAAGUGCAUAUGAUCCAAGAAGAGAAAGUAUGUUAGCUUAUGCCUCUCCCUCAAAUAGAAUUGCAAUAGUGAUUACCGGUCUAGUAACAUAGUCAAUUGCUUAGGGACAAUUUCACAAUUCCUACCACCACUUUUCCACACUCGUUAUAUUUACUUUAUUUGCAUCUUUAUCUAAACAUCCCCUAGUUUAUAUUUACAUGCUCUUUAUUAUCUUGCAAACCUAUCGAACAACACCUACAAAGUACUUCUAGUUUCAUACUUGUUCUAGGUAAAGCGAACAUCAAGUGUGCGUAGAGUUGUAUUGGUGGUCGAUAGAACUUGAGGGAAUAUUUAUUCUACCUUUAGCUCCUCGUUGGGUUCGACACUCUUACUUAUCGAAAACUGUUGCGAUCCCCUACACUUGUGGGUUAUCAAGACCUUUUUGUGGCGCCGUUGCCGGGGAGUCAUAGCGUGGGGUGAAUAUUCUCGUGUGUGCUUGUUUGCUUUAUCACUAAGUAAUUUUUAUUGGUUGUUCUUAGUUGUUUUCUAUCUUUAGUUAUGGAUAUGGAACACAAAAUACCAAAAAAAUUAGGUGUACUUGCUACUCAUGGAGAUGGGGUAACUCCUAAAACCCUCGAUUCUCAUUAUGUGAAAGAUAUUAAGUACUACUUUGAUAAUCCUGAGAAAACCCCAUUCAACUUUAUAAUGGGAGACACGUUGGAUCAACGUGAAUACUUUAGGGAUUAUCGCUCGACACAAAAAGGGAAACUAUUAUGGGAUCAAUUUAUUAUGUUGCGUUGGUAUACCCGGGAUCUAUGCUUGAGAUAUGAUAUUACUUGUUGCACUAGGAUGAAGGCUCCACACCUUCCAUUUUCAUGCAAAUUUAAUGAUAAUGAAACCUUAGCUUCUUAUGCUAAUGGUAGAUAUGAUUACUAUGAUGUGGAACAAAUAGAAGAAUUUGUUGCUUUUAAGGCUGCUUAUGAAAUUGAAUCUUUGUUUGAAAAGUAUGAAGUUUUUGAUGAUGAUGGUGUUUAUAGGCCUGAAAAUCUUGCUAUACUUAGAUAUUGCUGUGAAAAUUAUGAAUACAAUUACUAUAUCAAUGCUUUUAUGAAGAAAUUCUCCGCUGUCCAAGAAGAGACUAAUAUUUUGCAGGAAGCUAUGGAAGAAGAAAUUGAUGAAACUGUGAGCUCAUUGGAUGAAAAAGAUGAUGAGGAGAGCGAAGAACCAAAGGAGGAAGAGCGGAUUGAUCACCCGUGCCCAUCUUCUAAUGAGAGUAACUCUUUGACUCAUACAUUGUUUAAUUACCCUUCGUGCUUACCGAAGGAUGAUUUUUAUGAUGAUUGCUAUGAUCCCGUUGAUUCUCUUGAAAUAUCCCUUUUUGAUGAUGCUUGCUAUGCUUGAGGCCAAGAUGCCAAUAUGAAUUAUGCUUAUGGAGAUGAACUUGCUAUAGUUCCUUAUGUUAAACAUGAAAUUGUUGCUAUUGCACCCACGCAUGAUAGUCCUAUUAUCUUUUUGAAUUCUCCUUACUACACUAUAUCGGAGAAGUUUGUGCUUAUUAAGAAUUAUAUUGAUGGGUUGCAUUUUACCAUUGCACAUGAUGAUUUUGAUGAAUGUAAUAUGCAUGUGCUUGCUGCUCCUACUUGCAAUUAUUAUGAGAGAGGAACUAUAUCUCCACCUCUCUAUGUUUCCAAUACAAUAAAAUUGCAAGAAACUAUUUAUACUAUGCGUUGGCCUUUACUAUGUGUGCAUGAAUUGUUCUUUUAUGACAUGCCGAUGCAUAGGAAGAGAGUUAGACUUCGUUGUUGCAUGAUAUAUGUUACUUUGUGCUCACUACUAAAUUACAAAUCUUUGUUAAUUAAAAUUGGCUUUGAUAUACCUUGGGAUCCGGGUGGAUUCAUUACUUGAGCACUAAAUGCCUAGCUUAAUGGUUUGAAAGAAAGCGCUUCCAAGGAGACAACCCGGAAGUUUUAGAGAGUCAUUUAUUUCUGUUGAGUGCUUUCAUAUAGUUGAAAACCAAAAAAAUAAAGAGGGGAACCUAAAAACUUUUCAAAAA